AUUAUCCUUUGCAAAACAUUUUCCCAUAGCAACACCCCAAAUGUGGAUAAAAUGUGCCAAAAAUAAUUACCUAAAAACACAUAGUGCAUAUAGACAUCAAUUGUAUUUGCACAACUUGAAGAUUUUUACACAGAAACAUAACUUUAACUUAAAGGGCAACAGAAACGUCAAAUUGUCAAACUUCAGAGGUUUUGAUUUGACUCUGAAACCUUUUUUCUGCCAGGACCUUUAAACUAACAAGAGAAAUGUGCAUUUUGUGUUCUUGCUGCUUUGUGAUCGUUGUCUCACCCAGCAGGCGUCACAUCUGAGCAGAAACACACCAACUAACAAAUGCAGAGGUGGGCAGAGGAUCCAAAAAUUACAUUGAAGUAAAAGUGUUUGGUAAAAAGUUACUCAAGUAAAUGUAACUGAGUACCUAGUUACCACCCAACUCUGCCUAAAUGCAGUCAGUUUUGUUGAACAAAUGUCAAAGAAAUCAUAUUUUCUUGAAAGAAGAAAAUAUGUGAAAGGAGCGAGAAAAUAUUUCUGAAAAUGUUGCUUUCAGAAAGAUUAGAUUUGCAUCAUGUUUGGCAAAAUCUGCAACCCCUCUGAUGAGCUCUGCGCGUCUGUAACUCGACGUCCAGUCUGUUUUCUGCUCAGAUGUGGUGAAGGUUGCAGAAAUCCCCGAGCUCUGCGGCUCUCCAGCAUCACUGCAGGAGUCGGCAGCGAUGCGGCGAAUGGUGGAGAGGUGAUUUCAUCAACCGCCUGCUGGGCAACAUGCUAGGGUUGCUGUCUCUCAUGGGAGAAGAACUUGUUUUUGUUGCUUUAUGUUUAUUUGCAAAACUUAUUAAGACUUUAAAGACUUGUUCAAACAUUUUGUGAAGUUCACCUGGACGGUGAGGCGUUUAUUUUUGUUCUUUUAGCGUGUGGAGGAGGAGGCUCAGGAGAGUUGGAGGACAGAGUGAACAAAGCUGUGUUGAAUCGGUUUGACUGCAGCGAUGAGACGAGCCGGUUUCCAGCGGCUCUCUGCCAGUUGCUUAGUAACUGGUGUUUUCAGCUAAAGUCUACAGUCAAAAUGUCCAAAUUAAAGAGGACCUGAAGAAGAAACAAGUGACCAACGCAAACACAUUCCUCCCAGCGACACAUUUUUUCGGUUUGGUGCAGAAAGGGAUGUCAGCAUGAAGUCUCGCCGCUUUACUGACAUCAACAGCGGGGCCCCCCUCAGGCGACCUGCACACACUCUGCUGUAAUGGGCCUCCUCAUGGUUGGAGGUCUCCUGUCAAAUCUCGGAGCUGAAAACCCCCCGGAGAAGAGCGAGGGUUUGAAGUCGGAAUAAAGAAUCAGACGGGAAAGAGAAAGCAGCUCUCCUCUGGGCUUUUCCUCGCAACCAGAUGGGCAGAAAGCCUGGAGCGAUCUUCCUCCCUCCUCUUCCUCCUCAGCAGGACCCAAUCUUCUCUUCGCUUGGUAAAUCUUUAGGUUUUUGAAGAUCUCCGGAGGGGGGCUUCGCUGCAAGGAAGGUGACCGAACCUUUACCUGAAAGGAACAAAAAAACUGACAUAAAGUUUUACAGGACGGUUUUUUUAAUUUCCUCUCUGGGGGAGAAGGAGACUUUUCUUCCUGUCCUUAUCGGAGCCUCUGCUGAUUGAAAUCAGCAUGAUCAGGUGGAAUCGAGGAUAUGAAAUCUUAUCAACUUGAAUUAUGUCUGGAUUUUAUUGUGUUAAAAGUUGCAGGAAGGA